rnacentral:rRNA from 1 species
CUGCUGCCUCCCGUAGGAGUUUGGGCCGUGUCUCAGUCCCAAUGUGGCCGUCCACCCUCUCAGGCCGGCUACUGAUCGUCGCCUUGGUGGGCCGUUACCCCGCCAACAAGCUAAUCAGACGCGGGUCCAUCCUACACCACCGGAGUUUUUCACACAAAUCCAUGCGGCUUCGUGCGCUUAUGCGGUAUUAGCACCUAUUUCUAAGUGUUAUCCCCCAGUGUAAGGCAGGUUACCCACGCGUUACUCACCCGUCCGCCACUAAG